ACCGACGAAGGCGACUACCAGAUCAAGCUGCGCAACAUGCGCCGGUUCCUGGAAGAAGGCGACAAGGUCAAGGUCAACAUCCGCUUCCGUGGCCGCGAGAUGAGCCAUCAGGAACUCGGUCGCGAGAUGGCGGCCCGGAUCGAGGCCGACCUGGGCGAGGACAUCGUGAUCGAGUCGCGUCCGCGCCUGGAAGGGCGGCAGAUGGUCAUGAUGAUCGCGCCGAAGAAGAAGACCUGAUCGCCCGGCAUCCGCUGGGUCGGUCCGAAAGCCCCCGCCGCGUGCGGGGGU
rnacentral:misc_RNA from 1 species